rnacentral:rRNA from 1 species
UACGUAGGUGGCAAGCGUUAUCCGGAAUUAUUGGGCGUAAAGCGCGCGCAGGCGGUCUCUUAAGUCUGAUGUGAAAGCCCACGGCUCAACCGUGGAGGGUCAUUGGAAACUGGGGGACUUGAGUGCAGAAGAGGAGAGCGGAAUUCCACGUGUAGCGGUGAAAUGCGUAGAGAUGUGGAGGAACACCAGUGGCGAAGGCGGCUCUCUGGUCUGUAACUGACGCUGAGGCGCGAAAGCGUGGGGAGCGAACAGG